rnacentral:lncRNA from 1 species
GUUCUGUUGGGAAGUGUCACAUCAGGAGAAUAUCUGCAGUCACCUAUCCUGCUUGGACCCUGAAUGUGCCACCAGCAGUGUUGCCCCGUUAUUUUCAUUGUCUCAGGUGUCCAGAGGAUGGUGACCGGGUCUUUGAAGUUGGUAAUGGGAUUAAUGGGCACAGCAAACUGGGCUAGACAUCUGGUCUGAAUUAGAAAAAAGUAUUGAUUAAUCUUGGAAGGGUGUCCCUAAGGCAGAAACUUUCCCCUUGCCCAGCCCCUCCAGCUUCAGCCUGACUCCCUUUUCAAAAGUUUAAGGAGUGCUCCAGAAUAGUGGCUUCGAAAUAAACCUUCACAUCCACGUAAAAGAUAGAAUUGUUUCCCAUUUCUUAGAGGUGGGGUGGAGUGGGGUUGAUCAGGAAUUCUGAGAUUUGUAAGUGCUGCUUUCUUUAACGGAAAUUGAGCCCUAUUUUGAGGGAAAUUAGUUUUGCAGACUUCGUUUAAAAAAAAAAGAAAGAACUAAAACUUUUGCUCACCAGCUGCUCAACUCCUCAGUCUGGGUCUGAGCUGGGACCUGCAGCAAGCUUUUUGACGGUAAGACUUUUUGCUGAUAUUUGGGGAAUCUAAUAUUGCUUUAGAUUUUGAAAGGGGGUGUGGGGGUUGUUCUUUACUUUGCAAAUUUUAGGGGUUUAACACUGAAGGAUGGCGUUCAGAACUUACAUCUUAAAAAUAUUUAUUCCUGCCACUCCCCACGCCCUUGGCUCUUUAAAAAUAAAGGGGGAGGGUAUUCCUCCAAUAUCGUAGGAAUAGGUUUUGGAUUUUCAUUGUGUUUAUGGUUUCAAUAUGUGUUCUGAUAUUAAAAGUUGAAGUACAAAGAGUAACACUAAACUUCCCUAACUCCUGUAGCUACUCUAUGGCUUCGGGGUAAAAACUUUAAGUUUUUAUUCAAACUAAAAUUUAGGCAACCACCUCAAUAUACAUAACCAGAAAUAUUUACAUAGUACAAUGCUGUCAGCUAGAGGCAAGGCAGAAAGUGUUAGACAAGAUUAACUAAAAAUAGACUUCAUCUGCAGACAUCAGUAAAAAAACAUUCAUAAUGGUUCUUUAAAUUUGCAUUACAUGUGUUUAAAAGAAGUUAAUUAAUAAAUUAAUGAAUUUGAAUUAACCAGUGAGUUGUAGGUAACUAGCAACAAGCAAACAAAAGCUUUAAUCUCCAGGAGCUGUCACUUCUUGAAUCAACCCAGGGAAUGGACUAGCUUUUUUUUUUUUUUUUUCAUUUACUGCAUCAGAUGUUAACAAUGUGUCUAGAAAUUUCUCCACAACCUACCUCAGUCCAUCAACUUCUGUGAGACCAGCAAUAUGGGAAGGAAAAAAAUGAAAGAGAAAAGAGUUAGAAAAAAAAAAUCACUUCCAAAGUCAUGCAAUUAAAAUAAAGCUAGUAAGAAAGACUUUUUAAUUGAAGACACAAGAUAUUUAAUAUCAAUAAAAAUUAUGAAGUCCAGAUUUCUAAUAGAAAGUAUAAAAUAAACAAAAUGUUAUUUGGAUGGGGAAAAAGUGAUACACAGAAAAAAGAAGUGAACGGGAGGAUUUGUUGCCUUUCAGAAUUAAAUGUGACUUUAAAAUUUUCUCUGUAUUUCUAAAUAUGUGUUAAUUAUUCCAUACUUUAAAAAAUCUCAUUUAUUAGAAUAUUUGUAAUAAGGUAGAAUAUUGGUGUUUUAUUCUGUAGGCCACUGAGGUUUGUUUUUUUUUAAUAUAAUAAGAGAGAAAAAAAAAUCCUCAUAGUUCCUAUAAUAGCCACUUCAGUGUUUGUGUCUAUAAAAUUCAAUGGCGAAAGAUGUCUUUUCAGUAAUUAUAUUAAAGAUGAAUGGUAAAAGUUACAACAAUUAUAAAAAACUGUAUAAGUCAUUUUAAACUAUUGAUGACAUAGUAUUUAUGCUAUAUCUACAAUAUAUUAAAUGUCCUGAGGAAAAUAUUAUAUCAAUGUCAACAUACUAUGCAAAGUUUUAAUAUCAAAUAGCCCAUUACAAAGAGACUGAUUAUAUGAAAAUGUAAGCUAAUUAUCUUGUGGAGGAUACUUGACCAAAAUUAUUUUAAAUACAUUAAGUUCUUUAAACUUUUUAAGUAUGUAUACCUAUUGUUUCCUUCACUUAAAAGAAAUGAGAUUCAAUAGUAAAAACUGAGAUAAAACUCACACACACACACACAAAACUAUUUUAAGAGGGAUUAAACAUAUCAAACAUUCCAAAAGUUUAACAUAAAAUCUUAUUUCAAUCUUUAUGAUGAUUCUUUUAAAAGAUGUCAUUCUUCUGUACACCUGUAAUUUGAUAUGAGUAUCAAAAUAUUUAAAAUUAAACUCAUUAAAAGUAUAUUUUGCAUUUUAUUUGAUACAUACACUUUAGUAAUAUAAUCAUAAUACAUGAAUUUAAGUGUGGAUGAAUAAGUUUUAACUGGAAUUUUUCUCUGAAACUUUGUAUAUAGAAAUAUUAUUUCUACUAUAUUUUCACAAGAAAUACUGAUAUGUCCUUUAGUUAUUUUGAAAUUAAGAAUUUUGAUGAUAUAUUCAUAUAUGCUAAGUAGUCAAGGGUGAUUUAUGUGAUUUAUGAUGUACUCCAUUUUAUAUCUGUGUUUUCCAAGAAAUUAUGCAUUAUAAAAUUUCAUGAACAAAUCUACUAUUAUGCUGGAUACUAAUGCAAGCAAUCUACUGAUUCCAUAUACUAUUACAGGUUAUUGAAAUGUUACUGUUUUUACAUAAUACUAAUUGGUGCUUUUAUGAUAAAAUUUGUUACAUUUCUACAUAUGUUAAAAGAAUGCUUAAACAUUACCUCUGAAGUGUGAAGCAGUACACAACAUAUUUGCUUCCUGGUUUCCAUUUCUUUUUAAAUUUAGAUUUAUGAUUUCUUUCAGAAAUUGGUGGUUUUCUUCAAUUGAAGUACCUCAUAGUAAAUGUAACUAUACUAAACCCUAAAUAUAACUCUGCCUUAAGCAAUGAUAUAUAAAAAUUACAACAUUUUAAAAGACAAUGUUCAGAAAACCAGCAUGUUAUGACUGAUAAAAUUAAAAGAUUAAUUAGAAAUUCAAAAUAUAUUCAAUCAUCCAUAAUUCAAUUGCCUUCCACAUGCAUUUUUAAAAUUUAUAAAGUCAUAAUAAUUUUUUCUUUUUCUUUCUCUUUUAUCCUGUGAAGUGUUAAAAUCAGGAAGACAUUGAUUACUUCUCAGAUUUCAAAAAUUUUAACUAUUUUUUUCCACCUGCUCAAAAUCCAGUUACUGGACAGUUAAUUUAUAAUGAUGUAAUUGGGAAAGGACUAUGCUAAAUUCCUACAUUUUCACCUUGUAAGUUGUUUUUAUUGACAAACAUGGGUGUUUUCAAAAUCUCAUAGUUGCAAAUUGCCUCUUUUCCAUAUAUAAAUGGAGGUAUACAAUGACUCUAAUACAGAUAGUUCUAUAAAAAAACACUAUACAUUACAUCAUAUAUUCUCUACCAAAACUCUUAACAAUUACAUUUCUGCAUGCCAUAAAAAGUAUUGCUGUGUUUUUAAAUGGAUUAGAUUUAGAAUGAGUUCAUAAAUCUCAGAGAACAAAAAUUCAAUUGAUACUAAAGAUGGGAAUUCUAGAUAAAAUUUUACUCUUCUGUUUUAAGUUUUCAACUUGAAGAGCUUAGCAUUAUUGAAGUCAUUUUAGUAGUAUGUUAUGUUAUUCUUUUGUAAUUUUAUUUAUCAGACUUCAUCAAUUUUUAGAAUGUUUUAUUUUUAAAGUGGCUUUUUCCCUUUUAGCCUGGGUUUAUGAUUUGAAUUACUAAAACCUCUAGUGUAGCUGUGUUAGUAUAGUUCCCCUAAAAUAUUUAAUUGGACAAUCUACUUUUAUAUGACUCAAACUCAGCAAAGAAACCCAGUUGCCUUUAAUGUCAACAUUUUUUGCUUUAUUCUUAAAAACAUUUCUGUCAUAUCAUAUAACAAAUGAGAUAAAAAGGCCAAAUAUAUGAUGUCUUUUUAAAAUUUUCUGAGUUUAAUAUUAGUACCUCAAUUUAGCUUAGGUUGUUUUCUUUUAAAUAUUUAUUUUUUUUAGUUAUAGGUGGACACAAUCCCUUUGUGUGUGUGUGUGUAUAUAUAUAUAUAUAUUUGGUAUGGUGCUGAGGAUUGAACCCAGUGUCUCAUGCAUACUAAGUGAGCACACUACCUCUGAGCCACAACCCCAGCCAAUAGGUUAGAUUAUUUUUUAAAAGAAGUGAUAUGGAAUAUAUUAUAUAGGUCAAUAGCCAUAUGAAAAAGAGUCAAAACAAGAAUUAAGAUGAUUAAAUGACGACUUUUUACUUAUGUUUUGGUUGACUUAAGUAAUAAGAAAGAUUAUAGGAGAUCAGAAUAGACUAAAGGAAAACCAGAAGAGACUGUUUAGCAGGUAGAAAAAACAGAAUGUAAGAUAACUUUAAUGAUGUGAGAAAUAAUUUAUAUUUGUCAAUAUAAAUAUGUAAAUCAUAAGCCACAUAAACUAUAAUAACUGCAAAAAAAAUCCAGGUGCAUAUCUUGAUUUAACUGGAAUUUUGUAACCUGAAGCUUAUUGUCAUCAAAUUUUUUCUAAAUGUUAUUUAUUUUUUAGAGGAUGAUUUGUGCUAACUUGGGAUAAUAGUAUGUAAUAGGGAAUAAACUGGUUUUAAAUACCUGUCAGUAGCUGAAUGAAAAAAAAAGUAUGGGGUCAACUGUACCCUAAGUGCUUCAAAGCACAAAUAAGACAUUUUGGGUUGUACCUGGGCCCUUGAACUCCUUUCUUGGACCAACAGGAAACAAUUAUUUUCACCCACAAAGGAUACAGACCUGUAAACCCAAUAAAGUUUUCUCUAUACUAACGUUGAGAGGGGUAAAUAUUAAAUAAAUCUUUUUCAACACUUAAAGGGACUGGUAAAGAUUCUUCUCCAGCUGGAAGAAUCUUUUGCAGGGCCUUUCCCCCAGAAUCCGAGUUUCCCUGUAAUCUCUGUGUUAUAAUUUUCUGCCUUGAUCCAGCUUCACAUUUCAAAUUCUUGAUAAUGUAAAUAACCAAAGGACAGGAAAAUAGAACAGUGACUGAAAAUAAGUUAAAACGUGCUGGAAUACUUUGUGAUUAAAAUACAAUAAAGUUUAAUAAUGAUGUUGAAAGAGGCCUGAGUAUGGCAAGUGAGUAAUGGGAAACCUGACAGUUCUUUCCUCUGAUUUAGAGCAUCUGCAGUGAUCUGUGGCAGCAUUUCUGUAAAUACCUUACUAAUGAUGAUUACUGUGCUGGUUACAGUGAGGUUAAUGUUUCUAUGAAGACAUACACAAGGUCAAAUUAAAUAAAGGUGGUCCAUAAUUGGAUAUCAUAACACCUGUAUUUAUUGCCAAUAACUUUAUUAAUAUUCCCUGAUUUGAUAAAGACAGGGAAGUAAAAAUAGGACAAUUAUAACCUUCUAGGACAAUUGCUUCAUUUUUUUUUCCUUCAUUUUACUUAUCAUCUAGGGGCUAGUGGUACCUUUUUAAAAGCUUAUGAGAUGCUUGAUCCCCUCCAAAUCUUGUAUUUAUAGUCACUUUCACAUUCUACACUGUACAGUUAAUGAUGCAAUUAGAUCAGAGUCAGAGACUGAGUCCCAUUGACGUUUUAAGGUAAGAUCUUCCAGUGUGUGGCAUGCCAUUAUCUAAUACACCCUUCCACAACAGCUGGCUCAGGCUUAGCAUUUUCCAAACACAAAGACAAACACAAAACUAUAAAACUCUGCAAAAAUCUCCACUAUUUUAUAUGGAGUGACAAAGCUUAGAAGAGAUAUGAAGAAGCACAUAGAAGCUUGUAAAUGUCACACACUGAAAAUCCAAGGGUGUUGAGUUAGUUGCUGGUGUUCCUCUUUCUGUAACAGUAUUAAACACUUGCCAAUCUACACACAGUUCUGUGACAUAGACACCAUUUUUCUUCAAUAGCAGUUGUUAAAUCACUAUCAUCUGCCACUUAUGCCAAAUAUAACAUAGUUAUGGCUAAAACAAAAAGUGAAUUAGAUCCUUACACUCGACUAGCAAUUACAAUGAUAAAAAAAAAUUAUUACUAAAUUCCAAUUCCAGGUUACUAAGACUCAUGUCAGUCUCUCUACAUAGCAUGAUUGAUAACUCUAUUGCUCAAGUCAGAAGUAGGAAUUCAUUUUUAUAAAGCCCCUACUUCCUUCUCCACUCCCACUACAUGACAUCCAUCAUUAAGAAGAGUAUUCUCAAUCAUAGCUCUUUAAUAUUCAUUAGUUUACUCCUCUCCAUCACGAACAGCAGUAAUUUAUUGGAGCCUUCAAUUUUCUCCCUUGAAUUACACAGUCAUUCCAUGGUAUUCUACCUGCCUAGAAUAUUGAUCCAUCUCCCAGGGGCAGAAUGGAGAGUUGGUUUGAAUCUCAGCUCUAUCACUUUCUAAUUCUGUGAGCGUAUUCAUUUGUUAACUCAAAAGAUAUUAAAAUACAGCUAGGAUGUAGAAUGCAUGAGGCCUGGGAUUCAAUUAUCAGUACUGCAAAAAUAUACAUAUGUGUACAUUAACCAACAGAAUAUAUCAGUAUUAUUAAUGUAUAUAUUAAUAACAUAAUGAAAAAAUUAGAUAGUGUUAUGUGCACGCCUAUCAUGAUAUCUAAUAUAAUCUCAAAUGUUGAAUAAAUUAGGUUACAUUUUAAGCCAUGCUGCCCUUAUGUGGUAUUUAAGUACUUGAAUAUUGACUAUUCCAAAUUAAGAUUCACCUAAAGAUUAAAGUGCAUACCAGAUUUCAAAAAGGUGUUGUGAAAUUAAUGAAGUUUUACAUCAAUUACAUGUUAGAAUUAUCAUUGGAUACAUAGAGCUAAGUAAAGUAUUAUCUAAAUUAAUUUUUUUCUUUUUUAUAUUUUUGGUAUAACCACUAGAACAUUUAAGAUGACAUGUGUAGCUGACAUUAUACUUCUCUUGGACAGUGCUAAGUUAGAGGAUGUCAUUUAACUUUUUUUACUCGUUUAUUCCCUCCCUUGCAAAUAGGUACCAAAUUACAUAUAGGUCUGUCAAAAUGAUGUAGGACCUGAAAUCUUUCUGUAAGUUGAUCCUCUUGACCCCAUGAUUAGAAGCUUCACAAUGUGGUACCACACCUGGAAACCUCCAGAGCAAGAUCUCAAGGAAACACAGGAAAUUCCUGGGAACAGCAAAACAUCCUACUUGAAGACAUUGAGUUAUUCCUCUGUGUAUCAGGAGCAUCAUUGUUAAUUAACUGUUCAUGUGCUUGAAAGAGUUUGCUUGGCAAUGGCCUUUGUGAAGAAAGAACAGUGAGGUGUAUUAUUCAGGAUGCACUGGAUAAUGCUGUCACAAUGUGUUAAGCUAGACCUCUUAUUGCCUUAGCAAAUGUUUAGUUCUUAUUCCUGCAAAUGCUGGUGCAAGAUGGUUGGCUCUCCAGACAGCAGUUGAUCUUGUGAAUUAGUCAUCUCAGCAUGUUUCUCCAAGAGACCACAGCAGGGGAAUCGAGAAGGGGAGGGUCACAUACUUGAUCUUAUAUAUUCUGAUGCAGAAGUGAUAGGUGUUAUUUCUGCUCACAGCUCCUGGGCCUGAACAGUCAUGUAUAAUUUCAAAAGGACUAGAAAAUACUCUGGAGCAUAUGCUACUUGGUGAGUUGCAAAUGUCUCUAUUAUAUCAAGCUAUGAUAAACUUUGAAUUUGCUUCUAACAGAUAUAGUUCACACCACUAAAUUACAUAUCUUGAAUCUUCUUUGAAUCCUAUGUUGGUAUUUUCUAGAAUAGUAUCUAACAUAGAGUAAGCAUUCAAUAAAUAUGCUCAAAAGACCAUUUAGAUCUUCAAUUUUCACUUUAUCAUGAAAUUUUUGUUACCAUGCAUCCACUGUUACCACAUCAGGAAUGUGUAACUGCAAAUACAACUGCAAAGAAAUUUUACCUGAUAAGAUACUCAUUCUGCCUUCAAUAUUUUUAGUUUUAUUUGGAUGAGGGUUUUUUGGUUUUGGUUUUGAUUGCGGGGGGUAGGGGGUGGUGGUGGUGUGCAUGUGUGUGUAGAAAUUUUGGCUUUGUUUUCUUCUCUAGAGAAGGGUUUCAUUCUCAAUCCUCAUUGGCAUUAGAACAACAGUUGUGUACAUAUGCAGUGACAAUGGUUCAAAUUCUUUGGGGAAUCUGCCAGGAAGUGUCUGACAUCAAGUUAUACCACCAAUGUCUAUUUGUGUAAAUCAUAUUUAUAACUUUCAAGUAUGAUAUUUUAUUUUUGAUGAAUUCUGUAGGUUCUGUAAGAGUUCCUUGCAUGAACUGUGAAGAGGAGACCUUGAAUUGUGUCUCGUCACUAUCACUUUGAUUGUGACCAAGUUAAUUAAUAUUUUUGUGUUUAGGUUUCCUCAUCUUUCAAAUAAAGAUGUCUAUUUAUAUUGCUUCAUAUUGCUAAUUAUAUUAUAUAUAAUUCAAAUGAUGUAUUUCAUAUGUGUGUCUAUAGUAUUCUUAAUAUGGUCAUUUUUAUGAACAUUAUCAUUAUCCAUCCUCUGGCCCACAUUCUGUCUAAAAUGAAGUCACCUUCUGUAUAAAACAAGCUGGUAAGAAAAUUUUGGAAUAUUUAUUUGUAUCUAUUCAUUCCCCAUUUUCCCCAAUAAACACUAAUAUCUUGAGAAUUCCUGUCUAAGAUAUAGAUACAACAUAAAUAUAUAUUGAAUGAGUAAAUAAUGUUCUAAUGACAAAUGUAACUUUAGUAUCUCAACAUUUUAAUAUAAAUCAGAUGUUUAGAUUGCACAUAUUUCAGUUGACUUUUCUACUUGUUUCAAAUUAAGAUCAAAAAAAUUGUCAGCAUGUAAAAUCUUGAAUGUGGAAUGAAUAAUAAA